rnacentral:rRNA from 1 species
GACGAACGCUGGCGGCGUGCCUAAUACAUGCAAGUUGAGCGCUGAAGGUUGGUACUUGUACCAACUGGAUGAGCAGCGAACGGGUGAGUAACGCGUGGGGAAUCUGCCUUUGAGCGGGGGACAACAUUUGGAAACGAAUGCUAAUACCGCAUAAAAACUUUAAACACAAAUUUUAAGUUUGAAAGAUGCAAUUGCAUCACUCAAAGAUGAUCCCGCGUUGUAUUAGCUAGUUGGUGAGGUAAAGGCUCACCAAGGCGAUGAUACAUAGCCGACCUGAGAGGGUGAUCGGCCACAUUGGGACUGAGACACGGCCCAAACUCCUACGGGAGGCAGCAGUAGGGAAUCUUCGGCAAUGGACGAAAGUCUGACCGAGCAACGCCGCGUGAGUGAAGAAGGUUUUCGGAUCGUAAAACUCUGUUGGUAGAGAAGAACGUUGGUGAGAGUGGAAAGCUCAUCAAGUGACGGUAACUACCCAGAAAGGGACGGCUAACUACGUG